GGAGUGAGACGGCGUCAGGGGAGGGCGGCCGAGUUCCCGUCUCCCACGGCUGACGAGAAAGAGAAGAGCUGCAAAGGCUGUCAUUAGACCCUCAAUGUCGUAAACCGCAUUAAAGCGAGUGUGCGACAA